GCUCCAAUAGCGUAUAUUAAAGUUGCUGCAGUUAAAAAGCUCGUAGUCGGACUUCUGGGGCCGGGUGCUGGUCCGCCUCACGGCGCGACUGGUGGCGGGCCCCUUUUGCUCGAAGGCGGCCGGUGUCCUUCACUGGGUGUCGGCUGAAUUCGGGACCUUUACUUUGAAAAAAUUAGAGUGUUCAAAGCAGGCAUUGGCUU
rnacentral:rRNA from 1 species